AAACUGAGUGAUUCUGCUCCGCAUCUCCUCCACGUGCUUCACACGCUUCUCUCUACCAGUUCCAAAGAUCUGCUCAUCUGGGUUGGAGUAUAAUUUAAACAGGACUAACUCCAAGCGUUACAUGUGUUCCAGAGAGCUUGCGUCCUCUCAUUGGCCUGUUCCAAUAUUCUCCAAAACGCCGCAGAGCACCAUUGGUCUGUUCCAAUGUGCUUCUCCAAUUUUUAUUGGCUCUCCCGUUGCUGUCCCAGCACCCUGCCACACUUCUGACUUACAGCAUUUGAAUGUUUUCCAAACUGGCAUCUCCAUAUUCCAG